UGUCUUACCUGUAACGAAUUGAAUCGAUAUUGACCGAGGUUUUUUGCGACGGAACACCUUCUAAAACGUAAAUUGUAACAGCUUUGAUGAAAACAUAGAAUCAUACAGACACCAAACAUGUGAAUUAUACCGACACAUAUACCUGAGGAGAAAGAGGUAACUCUUGUCGGACGAGAUCACCGGUGGCGAUGUGAGGGACACCGAGAAGAGUGGAGAGUCGGCUAGCAUAUGUUCCUUUUCCGACGCCGGGGGAGCCUAAAAACACCCACUGGAAGCUUCUAGAACCACCAUCGUUAGGAUCAUCUGUGUGGGGCGGUGAAGAAUUGGUUUGGGAAAGGGUGGAAAGUGAUCGGUGGAAUAAUAGGGAUGAGAAUUGGGGUUUGAAGAGGCGGGUGAGGGCCGCCAUUGGUGGAUUGGAAGAGUUGCAGAAGUUUUCCAGACGGAAGUCAGUCGUCGGUACCUAACGUGCUUUCAUUCGGUUUUUAUAUUAAAAUGGAAAAUAUGCUUUAUAUUUAUGAUGACGAUUUCACGCAUGUGUCAUGGAGACCACUUUCUCACUAG
rnacentral:lncRNA from 1 species